rnacentral:rRNA from 1 species
AUUGAACGCUGGCGGCAGGCCUAACACAUGCAAGUCGAGCGGAUGAAGGGAGCUUGCUCCUGGAUUCAGCGGCGGACGGGUGAGUAAUGCCUAGGAAUCUGCCUGGUAGUGGGGGAUAACGUCCGGAAACGGGCGCUAAUACCGCAUACGUCCUGAGGGAGAAAGUGGGGGAUCUUCGGACCUCACGCUAUCAGAUGAGCCUAGGUCGGAUUAGCUAGUUGGUGGGGUAAAGGCCUACCAAGGCGACGAUCCGUAACUGGUCUGAGAGGAUGAUCAGUCACACUGGAACUGAGACACGGUCCAGACUCCUACGGGAGGCAGCAGUGGGGAAUAUUGGGCAAUGGGCGAAAGCCUGAUCCAGCCAUGCCGCGUGUGUGAAGAAGGUCUUCGGAUUGUAAUGCACUUUAAGUUGGGAGGAAGGGCAGUAAGUUAAUACCUUGCUGUUUUGACGUUACCAACAGAAUAAGCACCGGCUAACUUCGUG